rnacentral:misc_RNA from 1 species
AACGCACGAGACCUGCGGACCUGCGGAAGGAUCAUUAGUGAACGCCCUCGCGGGCUUAUAACUAUUCCAAACCUCUGUGAACCGUGCCCUUCGGGGCUAUUUUACAAACAUGGUGUAAUGAACGUCAUAUAUCAUAACAAAACAAAACUUUCAACAAUGGAUCUCU